rnacentral:rRNA from 1 species
GUGUCAGCAGCCGCGGUAAUACAGAGGGUGCAAGCGUUAAUCGGAAUUACUGGGCGUAAAGCGCGCGUAGGCGGUUGUAUAAGUUGGAGGUGAAAUCCCCGGGCUCAACCUGGGAAUUGCCUUCAAAACUGUACGGCUAGAGUGUGGGAGAGGAAGGUAGAAUUCCAGGUGUAGCGGUGAAAUGCGUAGAUAUCUGGAGGAAUACCGAUGGCGAAGGCAGCCUUCUGGCCUAACACUGACGCUGAGGUGCGAAAGCAUGGGGAGCAAACAGGAUU